rnacentral:rRNA from 1 species
AUACGUAGGGGGCGAGCGUUGUCCGGAAUGAUUGGGCGUAAAGGGCGCGUAGGCGGCCCGGUAAGUCUGGAGUGAAAGUCCUGUUUUUAAGAUGGGAAUUGCUUUGGAUACUGUCGGGCUUGAGUGCAGGAGAGGGAAGUGGAAUUCCCAGUGUAGCGGUGAAAUGCGUAGAGAUUGGGAGGAACACCAGUGGCGAAGGCGACUUACUGGACUGUAACUGACGCUGAAGCGCGAAAGUGUGGGGAGCAAACAGGAUUAGAUACCCUGGUAGUCCACACUGUAAACGAUGAAUGCUAGGUGUAGGGGGUGUCGACCCCUUCUGUGCCGCAGUCAACACAAUAAGCAUUCCGCCUGGGGAGUACGGCCGCAAGGUUGAAACUUAAAGGAAUUGACGGGG